ensembl:lncRNA novel transcript, antisense to WDR11
UUUUUUUUUUUGAGAUGGUCUCACUUUGUUACCCAGGCUGGAGUGCAAUGGCGCAAUCUUGGCUCACUGCAACCUCCGCCUCCCAGGUUCAAGUGAUUUUCUUGCCUUAGCAUCCCGAGUAGCUGGGAUUACAGGCGCUCGCCACCACGCCAGCUCAUUUUUGUACUCCUAGUAGAGAUGGGGUUUCACCAUGUUGGCCAGGCUGGCUAUAAAAGUCUACCAUCUAUGAACUCAAAUAUCCCACUUAAGGAAAUCUGUAACUGUUACUGUAGAUGUUUGUUCCUUAAAAAUACAUCUGUGCAAAGCAGAUUUUAAGUUAUCUAACAGUCCUGAACUUGAGCUGACCAAAACAAAUAAAACAGGGAUUUUUUUUCUUUUUUUUAAGUCAAUGAUACUAGACAACAGCAUUUUAUCCCUGGGAUCACUAGACACAGGGCCAGUACCAUUCUGCUGGCAAAUUAGGAACUUGGGGAUGAGAGUCAGUGGACAGGUCACUUCCAAUGAGACUAGAGCAGCAACACUGGACUAAAGACGGGAAUGAUUCCUGGAAGUUCAGCAACAUACCCUGAGAAGUAAGAACAACUGGAUCUUUGAGAGCUUGAAAAUACAUAUGGAGAACAUAAAA